UCACAGGGAUUAUCAAAAGAAUGAGAACUGGCAGAAUAACAGUGUCUCUUGCUGUCUUUCAGGAAUAGUUUUCAAAAUGAGUAGGAGGAGUAGAUGUCUGGAAAAAAUAUUGUCAAGGGAGUAGCGUGAGCUUAUGUCACCAAACAUCCUGUGUUGUUUUGGAAUUACAAGGAGUGCACAUCUAAUUGACAAAGAGCAACUGACUUCUUUCAGAGGGGGCAGAGACAGCAUGAAGGUGACAUACGUGUUCUCUAGCGGAAAGGAUGGAGCAUCUGAAGUUUACCUUAAAGAGAAGAUAAAAAGCAGUGAGGACACUGUUGAUGUCAGAGGUGCAUGAUGUCUUUCUUACCUUUGGAUUUGUUGUACCUGUGGCCAGCAGAAACAUACCUGCACAUUCAACAAGUUCUCCCCAAAAGAUUAGAGUUGCAAAGAAAUAGAAAGGGUCUUGAUGCUGUUUUCUAGCAGAUGGAGUUUGAGCAUCAAGAAUUUAUGAGUAACAGAAACUGUUUCUGCCUGCUUCAAUAGGAGAGCUGCACAAGGAAUGGUGAAGG
rnacentral:lncRNA from 1 species